CCCUUAGAUGUUCUGGACCGCACACGCGCUACACUGAAGGAGGCAGCGUGUACUCCUGGAUCGAAAGAUUUGGGUAACCCGCGAAUCUCCUUCGUGCUAGGGAUUGAGGUUUGCAAUUAUCCUUCAUGAACGAGGAAUUCCCAGUAAGUGCAAGUCAUAAGCUUGCGCUGACUACGUCCCUGCCCUUUGUACACACCGCCCGUCGCUACUACCGAUUGAAUGAUUUAGUGAGGACUUCGGACUGGGACCGAUGCGGCUUUCGGGCUGCGUCGGUAUUCUGGAAAGAUGUCCAAACUGUAUCAUUUAGAGGAAGUAAAAGUCGUANCA
rnacentral:rRNA from 1 species